UACGGGGGAUGCAAGCGUUAUCCGGAUUUAUUGGGUUUAAAGGUUGCGUAGGCUGUGAGGUAAGUCAGCGGUGAAAUGCCCCCGCUCAACGGGGUGAAGUGCCAUUGAUACUGCCUUGCUGGAAUGCGGAUGCCGUGGGAGGAAUGUGUGGUGUAGCGGUGAAAUGCAUAGAUAUCACACAGAACACCGAUUGCGAAGGCAUCUCACGAAUCCGCGAUUGACGCUGAUGCACGAAAGCGUGGGUAUCAAACAGG
rnacentral:rRNA from 1 species